rnacentral:rRNA from 1 species
UACGUAGGGGGCUAGCGUUGUCCGGAAUCAUUGGGCGUAAAGAGCGCGUAGGCGGCCAGAUAAGUCCGGUGUGAAAGUCAAAGGCUCAACCUUUGAAUGCCGCUGGAAACUGUCUGGCUAGAGUCCGGGAGGGGCGAGUGGAAUUCCUGGUGUAGCGGUGGAAUGCGCAGAUAUCAGGAGGAACACCGAUAGCGAAGGCAGCUCGCUGGGACGGUACUGACGCUGAGGCGCGAAAGCGUGGGGAGCGAACAGG